GAAAUGUAGCCGCCAUAUUGGACCGGUAGCUAAUCAGUUAGUACGCAGCCAAACAACAAGAUGCAGAGUAUUGUGCAGCAUAUCCCUUCUCGAAUUUGCGGACCGUCGAAAACAGGGCACGUGGGAUUACUUUUCACAACUGGAAAAGGUUAGGACAACAAAUACCUCCAAAAGAGCUGAAAAGAACAUGUCUGUGGCAUCUCAGGAUGAGCCAACAACUGAAACCUUUCAACCACAACCUCAGCGUAAUGAUGUGUCUGUGUUCGGUGGAUGAUAAGCCUGGUGAGACCCAGUGAGACCAGCAAUGUGGCUGCUCAACAUGACACUGUGUCCCUGUCUGCUGUAGAGAUGUCCUCAGCAGAAACUACGGAGGAGCACCCAUCUCCAUUCGUAAAAUUUCGGCUGUUGUGUGUGACCCCAGCUUUCUUCCCGCUUGGUUUGGUAGUCUGGUGGAAAAUGCUCUGGUCUGCAUAGCCGGAUUCGUAGUCCGGCAGAUUCUUCGAAAGCUGUCCUGUGAUGUGUGCCAUCAUUCGAUGAGCGCUAGUUACCUCUGAAAAACAACGGCGGCUUAGUGAUUCCAUCACAUGGCACAGUGAAGGUGCUAAGAGCUGCAAAAAGGAUCAUUCGCCAGACUUCAACAAAGCAAGCUCCAACAGUGUCAACAGUCACACACAUAGUCCGGGAAGAGAUUGGAACGGACAUUGUUUUUGUGCUUGGGGAGCACAAUGAGGAGACAAAGUUUGGUAUUAAAAACCAUCAUUCCAACUUGUGGUCAUUAGUUGUGUCUGUGUUUCUCAAUAUAAGGCUGCAGCACACUGGCAAACUGACUGCCCGUGACCUGCAAAAAGGUAACAUGAGGAAAUAAUUUAGUAAAACAGUCGUUUUUCAGGGGUUUUAGCUGUAAAACCUCUUGCGAUACUUUGUACAUUUGUUAAUAUGGUUUGAGAUGGGGAUGAUGUGUUCAUGUGUGAACUUAACUUAGAGAAUAAAAUGUAAAUGUACAUUCUAAUGUGCUUUGUACAGCCUUAAAUGCUUCUCGUUUUCUCUGUGUAAUAUAUCAGUUCUCAACAAAAUUUUUGUACACAUUUUCCACUUCUCUGUUAUAGAUCUUUUAUCUAUUACAUUUAUAUGAAUAUUGAUACGCUAUAUGAUUUGAAUGUUUUCCUUUUCUCUAAUCAUACAUCUUACACCUCAUGUACAUAUAUGAUUGAUAUUGAUACUCUGAUUUAUUCAUGUUUUAAUCUUUUUUGAGAUAUAUAUGAUCACAUAUGAUUUGUAAAUAUUUUCAUUUUCUAAUCUAUUAUGUUUUAUGUAGAAAUAUGUAUUCAGAAAUGGUUUUAUGUAUAUCAAAAGUCUAAUAUGUUGUCUCUUAUUAAAGUGGUUGACUUCUGCUUUUCUAUCAUA